AUNGAACAGAAAUAUACCGCAGAGAAGGUUUUUGAUAUUCUCAAGGAAGCCUGGAAUAAGUUCAGCAAAGAGGAACUUUAGACACAUCUUGGAUGAUUCUUUUCUUCAACCACCAUUUCACCUGCAAAGUAUGAAUAUUCUACUCAGGGAGAGACGACUAAACUAGCAUUACAAUCGUCGGCUGUUUUCUUCAGGUCGGUCUGGAGGCCAUGGCGGCCAUAAUCGUGUUCAACAUAUUGUCAGAGAAAGAACUAAAUGGUCGUCAUUACUUGACAUUGGGGUAAUACUUGGAUCCCAUAGGUUAAACCAUAGUUUCAUACCCAAAUUAUAUUGUGAUUUAUCUCGUUCCCCAAUAAAAUAGAGCUGAUGAUUCUUUAAAUUUGCACCAGAUUCAUUGUUUUUGUAGAGUUUAUUUCUUCCAUUUUUCCUCUUUCUUUCUCCUGGGAAGGAGUUGUGGGUUAAAAGUUGAAACAUCUUCCAUCCUUCCUGUAUUUUGCUGAACUGUACAUUCAACAUUUUGUAUUGUAUGUUGCAGGAGUAUCCUUGAGUUGUGUAACAUGUGGAAACUUUUCUCAUUAACUUUCUCAUUCUUUUUCCAGAAUGGUUCUUUCCUGGAGCCUAAGUGAACCGGUUAAAACAUGUUAUUGAAUAAAAGAGAAUAUGGAGAGUUCUGUGCUUGAAAAGGAAACAUAUCAGUGAGCUCGUGGAGACUUGCUUGGAUUUGAAUUGGCAAAAUGGAAUCUUGAGUUGCUGUAAGCUGGCAGGAGUUGGAUGGUUCCUUGUAUAACUUUGGAGAGUUUAGAUUCUUGAAAAGUAGAGGGAUGGGAAAAGAAAGCGAGUGGGAGAACGUUGUGAGAGCGAGCUUCUACUUUCUCUAGGAGAUAACUCGUUCGCACGUGUAAAGUUAAGAAAUUAAACUCAUAUUUGCUUGCUAGGGUUUGCUUAUCUCGAGCUAUAAAUACGUUAA